GGAGAGGUGGCCGAGAGGUCUAAGGCAGCAGCCUGCUAAGCUGCGACGGAGUUAAAAUCCGUCUCGCGGGUUCGAAUCCCGCCCUCUCCGCCC
rnacentral:tRNA from 1 species